rnacentral:lncRNA from 1 species
CCUUGUUGUUAUCAUCCUCCCUUGACAAACGGAGAAACCAAUGUGCAGAGGACUUCAGUCAAUGGUGAAGACCUUACGUCAUUCUGAAACUCGAAGAACUAAAUUGUGGCUUUCGUCUGAAUAGCUAACAGAAUUUUACAAGGAUUAUCUCAUCAACCUUCACCAAAUUCCAACAAGGCCUGCAUGGUAGGAUGCCAAAUGUGUGGCUGGAGCAACUGAAACACAGGGAGGCCACAUAAUUCCCGGAGUUGCACUGUGAGUCAGUGUCUAAACUGAAAAGUGAAACCUGGCCCUCGGGUUCCCAGACGGAGAGUUUACGAGGAUUCCUCAAGUUUUGCAGGAAGAAUAGAGCUGACACUCAAACUCAUGGCUCCUGAUUGGUAGUUCAAGAAUCUCUCCAGCCUCCCUCCCCUGACUUGCUUACUAGAUGUAGUCUGAGCACUUGCCUUGACUUUGAAGAUCCUCUGCACAAUGGCGUAUCUUUAUAUUCAUAUUUCCCCAGAAGUUUCCUAUACAUAUCAAGCCAAAUUACUCUCAAGCCCUUGAGUAUAUUUAAUCCUUUCCAAGGUUUGGAUAAUUUUAUUAACCUCCCUCCAUUACGCCCUCCACCAGACCAACACGAGCCAUUGAAAUCUUCUCACUUUUCAGCAUCUG